rnacentral:rRNA from 1 species
UGAACGCUGGCGGAAAGCCUCAUACAUGCAAGUCGAACGAAAAAGUAUCUUCGGAUACAAGUAAAAGUGGCGGACGGGUGAGUAAUACAUAGGAAUCUACCCAGUGGAGGGGGAUAGCUCGAGGAAACUCGAAUUAAUACCGCAUAAUCUCUACGGAGUAAAGAGGGCUUCGGCUCUCACCAUUGGAUGAGCCUAUGCAAGAUUAGCUUGUUGGUGAGGUAAUGGCUCACCAAGGCUACGAUCUUUAGCUGGUUUGAGAGGACGACCAGCCACAUCGGGACUGAGACACGGCCCGGACUUCUACGGAAGGCAGCAGUAGGGAAUAUUGGACAAUGAGCGAAAGCUUGAUCCAGCUAUGCCGCGUGUGCGAUGACGGCCUUAGGGUUGUAAAGCACUUUAGGUAACGAGGAAAAGUUAGGUGUUAAUACCACUUAACCAUGACGUUAAUUACAGAAUAAGCACCGGCUAAA